AACGAACGCUGGCGGCAUGCCUAACACAUGCAAGUCGAACGUGAUCCGGGACUUCGGUUUCGGUGAAAGUGGCGGACGGGUGAGUAACGCGUGGGAACCUGCCCAGUGGUAGGGGAUAACCGCGGGAAACUGCGGCUAAUACCCUAUGUGCCCUGCGGGGCAAAGAUUCAUCGCCAUUGGAGGGGCCCGCGUCGGAUUAGGUAGUUGGUGGGGUAACGGCCUACCAAGCCUUCGAUCCGUAGCUGGUCUGAGAGGAUGAUCAGCCACACUGGGACUGAGACACGGCCCAGACUCCUACGGGAGGCAGCAGUGGGGAGUAUUGGACAAUGGGGGCAACCCUGAUCCAGCAAUGCCGCGUGAGUGA
rnacentral:rRNA from 1 species